AGAUUCAAAGAAACACGAAGAAGCCAGCUCUGACUCCAAGGAACAAGGUGGAGAGUUUAGUGAGCAGCCCUGCCCAUUUGUGCCUGGACCCCUUCUUUGCUCCCCUUCUGCUAAGCUGCCUUUGUGUUUGGACACCGUGGGAGCCUCAGCAGCUGCAGGAGGGCCUGGGCUCUUCAGAGAUGUCCCUGCACUGUUCUGGCUGCUGCCUCAGGGAGAUCUCUUUUAGAAAUGGACAAGCCAAUUUUGAGGAUGUAGAAAACAUUAGAAGUGUGACACACAUGGUCACUUGUGAUUAAGAUGGAUGCAAUAUGGAUUAUAAUUGAGCUUCUACUAUGUUCCGGAUGAUGAGUAAGGCAGGUAACAAUGGCCAAGUGAAGCAGUGAGAUUGGUCUGUGUUCAAAUCCUAGCUCUGCUCUUCCACACUCCCACAACCACUGCCACCAUAGUUAAUCAGAGUCUUCUGGGGAAAGGCAAGAGAGGCAUGAAGGCAGGCACAACUUUAAAAAGGCAUCUAAGGGUGCUUGGGUGUAACAAGUUCUCAGCCCAACCACUUGGGCAAAGAAACACCCUGAUAAAUGGCUAGUGGUUUCCAUUAAUGCAUCUGGCAGGGGCAUUCAAGGGCAUUUUAUUUGUCCAAUAGAGUGAAUUAGUUUGCUCAUGAGCACAGAAGUAUCCAAAUGAGUGUCCCUUAUCUGAUCAAGUCCAUCCCAAUGACCCACAUUUGA
rnacentral:lncRNA from 1 species